AGCAGCCGCGGUAAUUCCAGCUCCAAUAGCGUAUAUUAAAGUUGUUGCAGUUAAAAAGCUCGUAGUUGAAUUUCGGGAUCAGUACGUCGGUCGUGCCUCCGGUAUGUACUGGCGUUACUGAUUUCUCCCUUCUGGUGAACCAUGAUGUCAUUAAUUUGGUGUUGUGGGGAGCCAGGACUGUUACUUUGAAAAAAUUAGAGUGUUUAAAGCAGGCAAACGCUUGAAUACAUUAGCAUGGAAUAAUGAAAUAGGACGUUCGAACCUAUUUUGUUGGUUUCUAGGAUCAACGUAAUGAUUAAUAGGGAUAGUUGGGGGCAUUAGUAUUCAAUUGUCAGAGGUGAAAUUCUUGGAUUUAUUGAAGACUAACUACUGCGAAAGCAUUUGCCAAGGAUGUUUUCAUUAAUCAAGAACGAAAGUUAGGGGAUCGAAGACGAUCAGAUACCGUCGUAGUCUUAACCAUAAACUAUGCCGACUAGGGAUCGGAUGAAGUUAAUUUUUAAUGACUCAUUCGGCGCCUUAC
rnacentral:rRNA from 1 species